CAGUCGCCGCGGUAAUACCGGCAGCACGAGUGAUGACCGCUAUUAUUGGGCCUAAAGCGUCCGUAGCUGGCCACGCAAGUCCGUCGGGAAAUCCGCGCGCUUAACGCGCGGGCGUCCGGUGGAAACUGUGUGGCUUGGGACCGGAAGAUCCAGAGGGUACGUCCGGGGUAGGAGUGAAAUCCCGUAAUCCUGGACGGACCACCGGUGGCGAAAGCGCUCUGGAAAGACGGAUCCGACGGUGAGGGACGAAAGCUCGGGUCACGAACCGGAUUAGAGACCCCGGUAGUCCCUGUCUCUUAUU
rnacentral:rRNA from 1 species